rnacentral:lncRNA from 1 species
GCCACACCUGGAAGACUCUCCCUCGAUCGCUUGCUGUUGGUUAGCUUUUGUCGUUAACCAAACUUAAUUAAUUCCUAAUCCCACCUUUCUCUAAUCCAACAAUUCCAGUAAUUAUGUCGAAUACGCAGGCGGAGGUGGGACGCGAGCCGUCGACGCUGCCACCCUCCCCCCAUCCGACGGCUCUGGAACGGCCACGUCGUCUCUACGAGACCAAUUAUACGUAUCCAUAGCUAUAAAAAGCACCGCCUUGUUUCUAUUAGGCGGGACGCAUUAAUUACGGCGAGCGAUCAAUUUACCCGAACGUCACCGGCCGGACGCGUGGCGACUCGACGCCGCGUGGACCACCGCCCGAGGGCAACCGUCCAAUGGGAGCGCGAUACGUGGGAGGC